rnacentral:rRNA from 1 species
AGGUUGACCUCGGAUCAGGUAGGACUACCCGCUGAACUUAAGCAUAUCAAUAAGCGGAGGAAAAGAAACCAACAGGGAUUGCCCCAGUAACGGCGAGUGAAGCGGCAACAGCUCAGAUUUGGAAUCUGGCCCCCAGGGCCCGAGUUGUAAUCUGGAGAGGAUGCUUCUGGCGCGGCGCCUUCCGAGUUCCCUGGAACGGGACGCCGGAGAGGGUGAGAGCCCCGUACGGUUGGACGCCUAGCCUUUGUGAAGCUCCUUCGACGAGUCGAGUAGUUUGGGAAUGCUGCUCAAAAUGGGAGGUAAAUUUCUUCUAAAGCUAAAUACCGGCCAGAGACCGAUAGCGCACAAGUAGAGUGAUCGAAAGAUGAAAAGCACUUUGAAAAGAGGGUCAAACAGUACGUGAAAUUGUUGAAAGGGAAGCGCCCGUGGCCAGACUUGUGCCCCGCGGACCACCCGGCGCCCUCAGCGCCGGUGCACUCCGCGGGGCGCAGGCCAGCAUCGGUUUUCCUAGGGGGAUAAAGGCGGCGGGAACGUGGCUCCUCCGGGAGUGUUAUAGCCCGCCGUGCCAUGCCCCUGGGGGGACCGAGGACCGCGCUUCGGCAAGGAUGCUGGCGUAAUGGCCACCGCACGUUUUUUAUAUACACGG